rnacentral:rRNA from 1 species
AUACGUAGGGUGCGAGCGUUGUCCGGAAUUACUGGGCGUAAAGAGCUCGUAGGUGGUUUGUCGCGUCGUCUGUGAAAUUCCGGGGCUUAACUCCGGGCGUGCAGGCGAUACGGGCAUAACUUGAGUACUGUAGGGGAGACUGGAAUUCCUGGUGUAGCGGUGAAAUGCGCAGAUAUCAGGAGGAACACCGGGGGCGAAGGGGGGUCUCUGGGCAGUAACUGACGCUGAGGAGCGAAAGCAUGGGUAGCGAACAGGAUUAGAUACCCUGGUAGUCCAUGCCGUAAACGGUGGGCGCUAGGUGUAGGGGUCUUCCACGACUUCUGUGCCGUAGCUAACGCAUUAAGCGCCCCGCCUGGGGAGUACGGCCGCAAGGCUAAAACUCAAAUGAAUUGACGGGG